rnacentral:rRNA from 1 species
GUGAACGCUGGCGGCAGGCCUAACCCAUGCAAGUCGAGCGGCAGCGCGGGGGCAACCCUGGCGGCGAGCGGCGGACGGGUGAGGAAUUCGUCGGAAUCUGCCUUUUUGUGGGGGAUAACGUAGGGAAACUUACGCUAAUACCGCAUACGUCCUACGGGAGAAAGUGGGGGACCGCAAGGCCUCACGCAGAAAGAUGAGCCGACGACCGAUUAGCUAGUUGGUGGGGUAAAGGCCCACCAAGGCGACGAUCGGUAGCUGGUCUGAGAGGAUGAUCAGCCACACUGGGACUGAGACACGGCCCAGACUCCUACGGGAGGCAGCAGUGGGGAAUAUUGGACAAUGGGCGCAAGCCUGAUCCAGCCAUGCCGCGUGUGUGAAGAAGGCCUUCGGGUUGUAAAGCACUUUUGUCCGGAAAGAAAUCCCUGGAGCUAAUACCUUCGGGGGAUGACGGUACCGGAAGAAUAAGCACCGGCUAACUUCGUG